AUAUUAUGCUGAUUUAUUUCAAAACAAAAGAAUAAACUUUAAAUUAAAGACUUCUUAUAAAUAUCACUGGAAGAAAGAGAGUGAGGCACAGUGUCCAGAGCAAGACCAGAUCUCCAGUCAUUAGUUUCCAUCCUGGAACAAGGUUCAGAGUGGAUUCAGGAUUUCACAUAAACCCUAAAAGGAUGGGGAUACUCAGGGUCACUCAAAAUGAAGCUUCUAUUAUGGGCCUGCAUCUUGUGUGCUGUUCUUGCAAAGAAGCGCUUCCACUUCCUUGGUGAGGAUUACAGUGGCAAUCAUUACCCAGUUAGCCCAUCUCUGACUAUUCCUUACCCAAUAUCAGACAUUGAUUUUGUUCCUCCUUUUCGCCCUUCAAAAAAAAAAGCCCCCAAUUACCCUGGGAAUCCUGACCCUGAUACAGGGACACCACCUCUAUCCCUGGGUUCUCCCUUCUCCUGGAGCCCCCCUCUACCGCAUUCCUAG
rnacentral:lncRNA from 1 species